UAUAUUUCAAUCAGAUUUUUAUAUCAUUUGAAGAAAAAAGUAAAAAAUAAGGCACAUGUUGAAGCCUCUAUUGUUAAUGCAUACAUUGUGGAGGAAGUAACAACUUUUGCAUCGUAUUAUUUUGAGCCUCACAUUCAGACCAAAAGACGAAGACCUGGAAGAAAUGAUGAAGGUCCUAUUGAUCCCAAUACGAACAUAUUCUCAAUUUUUAAUUAUCUUGGUCGACCGAGUGGACAAUGUAAGCAAAGAUAUUUAACUGAUCAAGAAUGGCGAGCAGCCCAGACAUAUGUUUUACUUAAUUGUCCAGAAGUAUCACCAUAUUUCGAGAUUUUUCAAAACUUGUAUUCUGAUAUGCCAACACUAGAGUUUGAUCGUUUCUGCGAUCAAGAAUUUGCACCUUGGUUCAAAUCAUAUGUUUAUGAUAAUCAAGCUCAUCUCGAACAUCAAAUGUUAUUUCAUCUAUCUUGGGGU